rnacentral:rRNA from 1 species
GACGUAGGGCGCGAGCGUUGUCCGGAUUUAUUGGGCGUAAAGGGCGCGUAGGCGGCUUGUCGCGUCGUCCGUGAAAACCUGUGGCUCAACUGCAGGCUUGCGGUCGAUACGGGCAGGCUAGAGUUCGGUAGGGGAGACUGGAAUUCCUGGUGUAGCGGUGAAAUGCACAGAUAUCAGGAGGAACACCGGUGGCGAAGGCGGGUCUCUGGGCCGAUACUGACGCUGAGGAGCGAAAGCGUGGGGAGCGAACAGG